UGCUCAUGGGCGUGGUCUCAACACACAGUCAGCUGUUGGGGAUCAGAGGCCGCACUCACCGGAGCAGUGAGGCAGAACUAACUGGGAGAGGGUCCUUCUGUGACACCUACUGCAUCACCGGGCUGUGUGAAGUGACUCAGCUGCCAGAACUCACACAAUAUCAUUCUACACCAAAACCUCAUGGGAAAAAUGCUCCACGACCCUCAGGCUUAAACAGCUGUACUGGCCGCUCCCCAGAUCUCCAGCUCCCUGACCCUCAAACUCCAACUGCAGCACCAGCUCCGCCCCGGGUCUCCAGCUCCACAAUCCUCAAACUACAACAGCAGCACCAGCUCCCCUGUGGAUCUCCAGCUCAAUGACUCUCAGACUUGGGAGGCGGCACCGGCUCCCCACCAAGCCUCCAGCUCCACAACCCUCAAACUAGAAAGCAGCACCGGCUACUCCCUGGGUCUCCAGUUCCCUCAAACUUCAGCUAUAGCACUGGCUCUUCCCCGUGGCCACCAGCUCUGCAAACCUCAACUUACACAGUGGUAGCACCAGCUCCUCCCUAGGUCUCCAGCUACACGACCGUCAAAAUUGAACUGCAACACCAGCUCCUCUUUGGCCUCCAGCUCCACAAUCCUCCAACAACAACAGCAACACCGGCUCCUCCCUGAAUCUCCAGCUCAACAACCCUCAGACUUGAGAGGCAGCACCGGCACCUCCCCAAGACUCCAGCUCCAUGACCCUCAGAUUUGAACAGCGGUAGCACCAGCUCCUGUCCAGGUCUCCAGCUUCACGAUCCUUAAACUAGAACAGCAGUACCGCCGCCUCCGUAGGUUUCCAGUUCCAUGAUCCUAAGACAUGAAUGAAAGAACUGGGUCACCCCAGGGCUCCAACUCCAAGACCCACAGAUUUGAACGGCAGCACCGGCUCUUCCUGGGAUCUGCAGCUCCACAGCCUUCAAACUAGAUCAGCAGCUCCGACUCCUCCCUGGGUCUCCAGCUACACAAUCCUCAGACAUGAACAAUAAUAGCACCGGCUCCUCCUUGGGUCUCCAGCUUCACUACCCUCAGACUAGAACAGCAACACCAGUUCCUCCCUGGGUCUCCAGCUCUACAAUCCUCAGACAUAAACAGCAGAAGCACCAGCUCCUACCCUUGUCUCCACUUCCACGACCCUCAAACUACAACAGCAGUACCGGCCUCUCCCCAGGUCUCCAGAUCCAUGACCCUCAAAAUAGAAUGGCAUCAUCGGAUCCCUCCUGGGUCUCCAGCUCCCAAACCCUCAAACUUCAAUUGACACACCGGAUGCUCCCCACAGUUAAACAGCAGCACGGGCCGUUCCCAAAAGCUCCAGAUCCACGACCCUCUGACUUAAAUGGCAGUAGCACCGGCUCCUCCCUAGGUCUCCAGUUCCACAACCCUCAAACUACACAGCAGCACCGGCUCCUCCCCAGGUCCACAACUCCACCACCCUCAUACGAGACACCAAGACUACCUCCUCCCCGCUCUCCAGCUACACGACCCUCAGUCUUGAACAGCAGCAGCUCCUCCCUGUGCCUCAAGCCCCAUGACCCUCAGACUUGAACAAGAACAACACCAUCUCCCCCCAGGGCUCCAGCUCGGGGACCCACAGAUUUAAACAGCAGCACCGGCUCUUCCUGUGAUCUCCAGCUCCACUAACCUCAAACUAGAAUAGCAGCACCAGCUCCUCCUUUGGUCUCCAGCUUCACUACCGUCAGGCUAGAACAGCAACACCGGUUCCUCCCUGGGUCUCCAGCUCAAUGACUCUCAGAUUUGAAAGGCAGCACCGGCUCCUCACAAAGUUUCUGGCUCCAAGGCCCUCAAACUAGAAUAGCAGCAGCUGCUGCAUCUUGGGUCUCCAGCUCCACAAUCCUCAAAGUAGAAAAGCAGCCCUGGCUCCUCCCCGAGUCUCCAGCUCCUCAAGUCUGAGGGUUGUAGAGCUGGAGACCCGGGGAGGAGUCAGUGCUGCUGUUCUACUUUGAGGGUCGUGGAUCUGGAGACCCAGGGUGGAGCCGGUGCUGCUGUUCUAGUGUGAGGGUCAUGGAGCUGGAAGACCCCGGGAGGAGCUGCUGCUGCUGUUCUAGUGUGAGGGUCAUGGAGCUGGAAGACCCCGGGAGGAGCUGCUGCUGCUCUCCUAGUUUAAAGGUCAUGGAGCUGGAGACCCGGAAAGGAGCCAUUUGAACAGCAGCACUGGCCUCUCCCCAGGUCUCAGGCUCCACGACCCUCAGACUUAAAAAGCUGUAGUACGGGCUUCUCCCUGGGUCUCCAGCUCUACAACCCUCAGACAUGAACAGCACCACCGGCUCCUCCCCCUGUCUCCAGUUCCACGAACCUCAAACUACAACAGCAGUACCAGCCUCUCCCCAGGUCCCCAGAUCCACGACCCUCAAAAUAGAAUGGCAUCAUCAGCUCCUCCCUGGGUCUCCAGCUCCCAAACCCUCAAACUUCAAUGGACACAGCACAUCCUCCCCACAGUUAAACAGCAGCAUGGGCUGUUCCCCAAAGCUCCAGAUCCAUGACCCUCUGACUUAAAUGGUGGUAGCACCAGCUCCUCCCUAGGUCUCCAGUUCCAUGACCCUCAAACUACACAGUAGCACCGGCCCCACCCCAGGUCCACAGCUCCACCAACCUCACAUUAGACACUAAGACUACCUCCUCCCCACUGUCCAGCUACACAACCCUCAGCCUUAAACAACAGCAGCACCAGCUCUUACCUGGGUCUCCAGCACCACAACCCUCAGCCUUAAACAACAGCAGCACCAGCUCCUCCCUGUGUCUCAAGCUCCACAACCCUCAGACUAGAACCGCACCCCUCCUCCCUGAGUCUGCAGCUCCAUGACCCUCAAACUACAACAGCAACACAGGCUCCUCCCUGAAUCUCCAGCUCAACAACUCUCAGACUUGAGAGGCAGAACCGGCAACUCCCCAGAACUCUAGAUCUGUUCAGACUAGAACAGCAACACCGGUUCCUCUCUGGAUCUCCAGCUCAGUGACUCUCAGACUUCAAAGGCAGCACCAGCUCCUCCGUGGAUCUCCAGAUCCACAACAUUCAAACCAACAUGGCUCCUCCCUGGGUCUGCAGCUCCACGACCCUCAAACUAGAACAAGACCUCUCCUCCCUGGGCCGCCAGCUUCCUGACCUUCAAACUACAACAACACUGCUCCUCCCUGGGUCUGCAGGUCCAUGACCCUCAGACCAGAACAAGACCUCUCCUCCCUGGGUCGCCAGCUUCCUGACCCUCGAAUUACAACAACCUUGCUCCUCCCUGGGUCUGCAGCUCCACAACCCUGAAACUAGAACAAAAUUUCUCCUACCUGAGUCGCCAGCUUCCUGACACUCGAACGACAACAAAAUUGCUCCUCCCUGGGUCGGCAGCUCCACGACCCUCAAACUCGAACAAGACUUCUCCUCCCCAGGGUGCCAGCUACCGGACCUUCAACUUACAUCAACAUUGCUCCUCCCUGGGUCUGCGGCUCCACGACCCUCAAACCAGAACAAGACCUCUCCUCCCUGGGUCGCCAGCUUCCUGACCCUCGAACUAAAACAACAAUGCUCCUCCCUGGGUCAGAAGCUCCACGACCCUGAAACUAGAACAAGACCUCUCCUCCCUGGGUCGCCAGUUUCCGGACCCUUGAACUACAACAAAAUGGCUCCUCCCUGGGUCUGCAGCUCCACGACCCUCGAACUCGAACAAGACUUGUCUUCCCCAAGUUGCCAGCUACCAGACCCUCGAACUACAACAACAUUGCUCCACCCUGGGUCUGUAGCUCCACGACCCUCAGACCGGAUCAAGACCUCUCCUCCCUGGGUCGCCAGCUUCCGGACCCUCAAAUUACAACAAAAUUGCUCCUCCCUGGGUCGGCAGCUCCACGACCCUCACAAUAGAACAAGACCUCUCCUCCCUGGGUCGCCAGCUUCCGGACCCUUGAACUACAACAAAAUUGCUCCUCCCUGGGUUGGCAGCUCCACGACCCUCAAACUCCAACAAGACUUCUCCUCCCCGAGUUGCCAGCUGCCAGACCCUCGAAUUACAACAACAUUGCCCCUCCCUGGGUCUGCAGCUCCACGACCCUCAGACUAGUACAAGACCUCUCCCUGGGUCGCCAGCUUCCUGACCGUCGAACUACAACAAAAUUGCUCCUCCCUGCGUCUGCAGCUCCACGACCCUCACACCAGAAGAAGACCUCUCCUCCCUGGGUCGCCAGCUUCCUGACCCUCGAACUACAACAAAAUUGCUCCUCCCUGGGUCUGCAGCUCCACGACCCUCAGACCAGAACAAGACCUCUCCUCCCUGGGUCGCCAGCUUUCUGACCCUCGAACUAUAACAACAAUGCUCCUGCCUCAGUCUGCAGCUCCACGACCCUGAAACUAGAACAAGACGUCUCCUCCCUAAGUCUCCAGCUCCAACACCCUCAGAUCUGAGCAGCGGCAGCACCAGCUCCUUUCUGGGUCUUCUGUUUCACGAUCCUUAAAUUAGAACAGCAGCACCAUCUUCUCCCUGGGUCUCCAGCUCCACGAAACUCAAGCUAGAAUAGCAGCACCGGCUCCUCUGGGAUCUUCAGCUCCACGACCCUAAGACAUCAGUGGCAGCACCGGCUCCUCCCCUGGACUCCAGCUCCAGGACCCUCAAACUUGAACAGAAACACCAGCUCCUCCCCAGGCCUCCAGCUCCUUGACCCUCAUAAACAAUCCCUUCUCAUGAAAUGUAGCAGUCAGGAAAACUGUAGAGGAAGUAAAUAAAUAAAUGUUUUCCUUUCAAAUUGAUGUUUCUUUUCUGUUCACGCAAGUCAGAAAACUUUU
rnacentral:lncRNA from 1 species